CCGACCUUAGCUCAGUUGGUAGAGCGGAGGACUGUAGUUGGUUGACAGAUAAUCCUUAGGUCGCUGGUUCGAAUCCGGCAGGUCGGA
rnacentral:tRNA from 1 species